rnacentral:sRNA from 1 species
AAGUGUAUAAAACUUAUGGGGUUAAG